rnacentral:lncRNA from 12 species
AGCAAGAUGCCAUUCCUCUCUUCUGCAAUCCACCAUGUGGAGGAAGAAAUUAAGAGACAUGAGGUCCUCCUCCAAGGACUGCAUGCAAUGCAUGUAAAAGUCUACAUGUGAAAAAG